CCCCUCCCAUCCAGGACAAAAGAAUUUAACCACUAUUGCGUUUUAUUAUAUGCUUUUAUACUCGUACAUAUUGUAUAAGUACAAUAUUAUAGUUUUUAUAUUUUGUCAUAUUUGUCUUCGUUACAGAAAAACAGAAAAUAUACUAAUUUAUGAAAUCUUUAUACAGAGGUGCGGAAUACAUUUUUAGAAAACUAUUUACAAACGUCCAAGUACCUUAAUAUUACAAACGUUUUAAAUAACAUUAAAAUUUGUCUCACUAGAUUGAGAAAUGCGUAU